rfam:Variovorax sp. WDL1 contig_133, whole genome shotgun sequence.
CGCGUAUUUCGCCCAGGCGGAGCUCGACCGCCACCACAAGAAGUGAACGCCUUCAUCGACGAGCACCGCGCUCGCCUCGGGGUCGAGCCGAUCUGCCGCGCGCUGCAGGUUGCCCCG